rnacentral:rRNA from 1 species
AUGGACGCGCAGCGUGCUCUGCUGGACGCGCUGAUGGGGUCGUCGCGGGACCUGACGGAGGAGGAGAAGAAGGAGCACCGGGAGGUGGCGUGGGACGACCCCGACGUGUGCGCCCCCUACAUGGCCCGCUUCUGCCCCCACGACCUCUUCAUCAACACCAAGAGCAACCUCGGAGUAUGCCCAAAGAUCCACGACCCGGCCCUAAAGCAAAGCUUCGAGUCCUCCCCCCGCUACGCCGCCGUCCUCCCCAAAUUCGAGGCUGACCUCGCCCACCGCUGCGAGAGGCUGGUCCAGGACCUGGAUAAGAAGAUCAGGCGCGGCCGCGACAGGCUUGCGCAGGACGUCGUGGAGGUGCCGCCCCCCGCCGCCCAUGCCGAGAAGGUCGAGCAGCUCGCCAUUCUCGAAGACAAGAUCAAGAAGCUGCUCGAGCAGAUUGAGCAGCUCGGCGACACCGGCAAGAUCGACGAGGCCACUGCGCUCAUGAGGAAGGUGGACAUUCUCAACCUCGAGAAGUCGGCUCUGACCCACCAGAUAGAGACCAAGCUCUCCAUGGUCCCGCAAGAGAAGAAGAUGGAGCUCUGCGAGCAGUGCGGCUCCUUUCUCGUCACCAACGACGUCCUUGAGAGGACGCAGUCCCAUGUCACCGGCAAACAACACAUUGGUUAUGGUCUGGUCAGGGAAUUCCUCGCCGAAUACAAGUUGCUUUUUCAGGCUGCGAAAGAAGCGGAGAAGCUUGCAAGGGAGAAGGAAGCAGAGGAGCGUCAGAACCGGGAGAGAGGAUACCAUAACAGAGGCCACCGCGACGACUAUAGGGAGAGAUCCAGGGAGCAUGACCGUGACCGCUACUAUGAGCGAGGAAGCCGUGACAGAGAGAGGCCCUAUGAGCAGGGAGGUAGAGGGUCAGACUAUAGAGGCGGUUCCUAUAACAGCCGCAGGGAUUCUGAAAGGGCGAGGCCCAGAGAUAGGAACGGUGGUGAUUUUUCAAGAAGAGGAGACCCGGGGAGGGUGAGGAGCAGGUCCCGGUCUCCAGGCAGGCAUGGUUAUUAA